CUGACCCAGACAACAAAAACUUAACGUUUGCUUGUAAACAAUGCCCGCCUGGUUUACAGAAGAGAGUGAGGACAUCGACGUCAUCCACAGCAAACCUCAAGCGGCACAUUGAGCUAAAGCACCCGGCUAGCCUAGCAAGACCCAGGAGAAACCGGCUGGGAGAUGCAAACUUUGAGAGGCAGCUGAUCUUGAAUGCUAACAAAAAGAUUUGAAGGAAGAAAGAAACCGCAGAUCCACCAUUGCUUUCUUUAGGUCACUUUUCAGUAUAACUGAAAUGGAAUUUGGAAAAUGAUUUGAAAUGAAAAAACAUUUGCAUCUUAAAGGACUAUAGU